AGGGAACCGAGCGCGGCGCCGCGGCUGCGCAUUCCGUGCGGGACGCCGCUGUCUCCCAAGGGUCGGGAUAAACUAGGGGGCGGUUGAUCUGAAAGUCUUAGCCACGACUAAUAGUCAACCGCCCAGGUGCGACCCGCAGCAGCCUUGGCGAUGCAGCUCGUUCUCCAGACGCGGGUCCACACCGGCGCGUCCUCGCCUCCAGGGACCGAUCGCUGUUCUCCGUGGCCGGAUAACCGACCAAGACGUUUCCAGCCUAAUGCCUGACGCCUUUUGCUUCCUCCAUCCUGGUCCUCAGUCCCUGAACUCCCAGGACAGAAUUCCUGACCUCCUUGGUCAAGCCUUGGAUCGAGAAAGAGAAACUAUUAGUGUAAACAAACCAAUCAACCCCAAAACCAAAACUGUGCCUGCCAAUAGCCCAUUUCUUGGCCAUUGAUGGUGCAUGAAGAGAAAUGGAUCCAAUUAAGAAAAUCUUAAAAUCUUAAGGAAUAAGAAAAUGUAAUAAAGAGAAAGACAAUGUCAUGCUCAGGGAGCUAAUAUGAAUCCCAAAGGAAUAUUGACUGUUCAGGCUCAAGUUAAAUUACAGCAGAUCGAAAGUGAGGAGUUGAGUGGCAUCUUCUUUUCUCUUACUGUCGACCUUGUUAAAUGGGGAGUCCACACCCCUUGCCUACUCCUCCCUCCUCAACCCCGUGACAGUGGGCCUCCCCCCAACUGUAUUGAGCAUGCACUCUAAAACAGUUACUUUUUGAGAAGUCAAGUCUGGUGACCCAUUCUCAGCCCCUCAUCCCUUUGAUCUCCUUGGCAGCAUCCUACCCUAAGGCCUUCUCUAUGCUUCUCUGGACUUCUCUGCUGACCCUUCUCUUCCUUUGAGGACAGUAACAAGGUUUUUCCAACUCUCGAUCUCCCAGUAUCCCAAAGAAAUACCUUCUGAUUUCAAACUGAACCCAUCCAGAUGUCGUGGGACCUGAAGCUUGUAUAACUCCUGGGGGAACUUCUUAAAGGAAAGCAAUAAAAACUUACAAACAUAAUACUAGACAUGUAUCCUUGGAAGGGCCCAGGGAAAAUGAGGGGCUUGGAAAUUUGAGCUUCAAGGUAUAUCUCCGGGUUUCUCUUCAAUGUCAGGGACUCUUGAAUCCAUAUUAUCGUUGUAAAAUUUCAAGUCCAAAUAAAAAUAUCCAAAAAUCAA
rnacentral:lncRNA from 1 species